rnacentral:snoRNA from 1 species
CCUUGAUGAAUUCGAGAUGACGAGUCUGAAUACGCUAGAACGGGGUUUCCUCGUUCUGGUGUAUGUGACGAGUCCCAUUUAUUUACCAUUCAUGCAUUAUCUGAUC